GGCUAACUAGCCCAGUUGGUUGGAGUGUCGCGCUAAUAACGCGAAGGUGUUGAGUUCGAUCCACACGUUGGCCG